rnacentral:rRNA from 1 species
CCUACGGGAGGCAGCAGUGAGGAAUAUUGGUCAAUGGACGAGAGUCUGAACCAGCCAAGUAGCGUGAAGGAUGACUGCCCUAUGGGUUGUAAACUUCUUUUAUAUGGGAAUAAAAUGUUCCACGUGUGGGAUUUUGUAUGUACCAUAUGAAUAAGGAUCGGCUAACUCCGUGCCAGCAGCCGCGGUAAUACGGAGGAUCCGAGCGUUAUCCGGAUUUAUUGGGUUUAAAGGGAGAGUAGGUGGGUUGUUAAGUCAGUUGUGAAAGUUUGAGGCUCAACCGUAAAAUUGCAGUUGAAACUGGCAGUCUUGAGUACAGUAGAGGUGGGCGGAAUUCGUGGUGUAGCGGUGAAAUGCUUAGAUAUCACGAAGAACUCCGAUUGCGAAGGCAGCUCACUGGACUGCAACUGACACUGAGGCUCGAAAGUGUGGGGAUCAAACAGGAUUAGAUACCCCGGUAGUC